GAUGAAGAACGCAGCGAAAUGCGAUAAGUAAUGUGAAUUGCAGAAUUCAGUGAAUCAUCGAAUCUUUGAACGCACAUUGCGCCCCCUGGUAUUCCGGGGGGCAUGCCUGUUCGAGCGUCAUUUCACCACUCAAGCCUCGCUUGGUAUUGGGCAACGCGGUCCGCCGCGUGCCUCAAAUCGACCGGCUGGGUCUUCUGUCCCCUAAGCGUUGUGGAAGCUAUUCGCUAAAGGGUGUUCGGGAGGCUACGCCGUAAAACAACCCCAUUUCUAAGGUUGACCUCGGAUCAGGUAGGGAUACCCGCUGAACUUAAGCAUAUCAAUAAGCGGAGGA
rnacentral:misc_RNA from 1 species